AGGAAUGGCCUCCAUAGACUCAAGUGUUUGAAUACUUGAUCCAUGGGGAGUGGAACUAUCAGGAGGGGUGGCCUUUUGGGAGUAGGUGUGGCUCCAUUGGAGGAAGUGUGUCACUAGGGGCUGGACUUUGAGGCUCUCACAUCUAAGAGCACAUCAUUAGGUUAUUUAUCUGAAAUUACUCUGAUUUUUUUUUUUAAAGUAGGCCCUCAAAAUGAUGGACAUCUCUCUCUUAGAACCAUCUUAGCCGUCUUACAGAGGUUUUGCUAUGUUACAUUUUCAUUUGAUUCUAGAAUCAAAACAUUUUAAUCCUUGAUAUCUUCAAUCAUCACCGAUCAUUGAAAAGUGCAUUGUUCAAACCCCAUGCACAGCAUGGCCUUGCUUGCCUUUGAUUGUAGAGAUCCCAGGAAGCCCAGGUAGACGUAGACGCUCUCCUUCCUGGAGCAUCGGUGGCGGCACUUGCCGUGGAGAUUCCAGCAUUUCUGAGCAUCACCUGAUACAAAGAAGAGGGAGCAGAUGGUGGCACUGGCGUAGCUAUCCUGGGUUACAGGAAACCUUUUCUAACUCCCUCACCUCCACCCCUCCCAAACCAAGAAAGAAAUAACAGUUCUGAUAGUCACAACAGGAUGAGGCUACACCUAACAGCUGGAUGCACAGAAGGGGCACAGACAGGAAUGGAUCCCACCGGGUCUGCAGGGGUGGCAGUCCUUGCUGCCUGAGACGAAGCUAAGCCCAGACCCACUUUUCUGUGAAGCGCCAGUCCUGCUUUGGCUUACAGAUGCCUCAGUGUCCCUCAGAUGAACGAAGUCUUUAAGCUCUAUUUGAACCACAGGUCAAGGCAUGGCAAAGGGCAAGGAAAACCUUUGAAGAGAAGGCCAGCUUCUAUACCAUCACCAUCAGCCUUGCCCUCUCUAGGUGUUCCCUCUUAGAGCACAGAAGGGGAGCAACGUUCCCAUGUGUCACCAAGGAAAGGAAUGACAACGAAUGCCCUCAAGGAUGUGGGGAAAGAGGAACCCUUGCUCACUGCUGGCGGAGUACAAAUCUGCACAAACAUUCUGGAACUCAGUACAGAGGUUCCCCAGCUGAAAUGAGAAUGGCCACGUGACCCAUAUGCAUCCUUCCUAAAUAUACUUAGAACCUUUACUGUA